rnacentral:rRNA from 1 species
AAUCAACGCUGGCGGCGUGCCUAACACAUGCAAGUCGAACGCGAACGUUCCGCAAGGGACAAGUAGAGUGGCGCACGGGUGAGUAACACGUGGACAACCUGCCUGGGAGUGGGGAGUAACCUUCCGAAAGGAGGGCUAAUACCGCAUAAGACGGGAGGACCUAAGUUCUCCGGUUGAAAGGAGCAAUUCGCUCUCAGAGGGGUCCGCGCCUGAUUAGCUAGUUGGUGAGGUAACGGCUCACCAAGGCUGCGAUCAGUAGCCGUCCUGAGAGGGAGCACGGCCACACUGGAACUGAGACACGGUCCAGACUCCUACGGGAGGCAGCAGUGGGGAAUCUUGCGCAAUGGGCGAAAGCCUGACGCAGCGACGCCGCGUGAGGGAUGACGG